rnacentral:rRNA from 1 species
GAGGAAUAUUGGUCAAUGGACGGAAGUCUGAACCAGCCAUGCCGCGUGCAGGAAGACGGCUCUAUGAGUUGUAAACUGCUUUUGUACGAGGGUAAACGCAGAUACGUGUAUCUGCCUGAAAGUAUCGUACGAAUAAGGAUCGGCUAACUCCGUGCCAGCAGCCGCGGUAAUACGGAGGAUCCAAGCGUUAUCCGGAUUUAUUGGGUUUAAAGGGUGCGUAGGCGGUUUAGUAAGUCAGCGGUGAAAUUUUGGUGCUUAACACCAAACGUGCCGUUGAUACUGCUGGGCUAGAGAGUAGUUGCGGUAGGCGGAAUGUAUGGUGUAGCGGUGAAAUGCUUAGAGAUCAUACAGAACACCGAUUGCGAAGGCAGCUUACCAAACUAUAUCUGACGUUGAGGCACGAAAGCGUGGGGAGCAAAC